AAGGCCUUUUGGUUGUAAAGCACUUUAAGCAGUGAAGAAGACUCUUCGGUUAAUACCCGGAGACGAUGACAUUAGCUGCAGAAUAAGCACCGGCUAACUCUGUGCCAGCAGCCGCGGUAAUACAGAGGGUGCAAGCGUUAAUCGGAAUUACUGGGCGUAAAGGGAGCGUAGGUGGCUCGAUAAGUCAGAUGUGAAAUCCCCGGGCUCAACCUGGGAACUGCAUCUGAUACUGUUGAGCUAGAGUAUGUGAGAGGAAGGUAGAAUUCCAGGUGUAGCGGUGAAAUGCGUAGAGAUCUGGAGGAAUACCGAUGGCGAAGGCAGCCUUCUGGCAUAAUACUGACACUGAGGCUCGAAAGCGUGGGUAGCAAACAGGAUUAGAUACCCUGGUAGUCCACGCCGUAAACGAUGUCUACUAGUCGUUGGGUCCCUUGAGGACUUAGUGACGCAGCUAACGCAAUAAGUAGACCGCCUGGGGAGUACGGCCGCAAGGUUAAAACUCAAAUGAAUUGACGGGGGCCCGCACAAGCGGUGGAGCAUGUGGUUUAAUUCGAUGCAACGCGAAGAACCUUACCUGGUCUUGACAUACCUAGAAUCCUGCAGAGAUGCGGGAGUGCCUUCGGGAAUUAGAAUACAGGUGCUGCAUGGCUGUCGUCAGCUCGUGUCGUGAGAUGUUGGGUUAAGUCCCGCAACGAGCGCAACCCUUGUCCUUAGUUACCAGCGGGUUAAGCCGGGAACUCUAAGGAUACUGCCAGUGACAAACUGGAGGAAGGCGGGGACGACGUCAAGUCAUCAUGGCCCUUACGACCAGGGCUACACACGUGCUACAAUGGUAGGUACAGAGGGCAGCUACACAGCGAUGUGAUGCGAAUCUCAAAAAGCCUAUCGUAGUCCAGAUUGGAGUCUGCAACUCGACUCCAUGAAGUAGGAAUCGCUAGUAAUCGCGGAUCAGAAUGCCGCGGUGAAUACGUUCCCGGGCCUUGUACACACCGCCCGUCACACCAUGGGGAGUUGAUUGCACCAGAAGUGGAUAGCUUAACCUUCGGGGGAGCGUUCACCACGGUGUGGUUGAUGACUGGGGUGAAGUCGUAACAAGGUAACCGUAA
rnacentral:rRNA from 1 species